rnacentral:rRNA from 1 species
GACGAACGCUGGCGGCGUGCUUAACACAUGCAAGUCGAACGGAAAGGCCCUGCUUUUGUGGGGUGCUCGAGUGGCGAACGGGUGAGUAACACGUGAGUAACCUGCCCUUGACUUUGGGAUAACUUCAGGAAACUGGGGCUAAUACCGGAUAGGAGCUCCUGCUGCAUGGUGGGGGUUGGAAAGUUUCGGCGGUUGGGGAUGGACUCGCGGCUUAUCCGCUUGUUGGUUGGGUAGUGGCUUACCAAGGCUUUGACGGGUAGCCGGCCUGAGAGGGUGACCGGCCACAUUGGGACUGAGAUACGGCCCAGACUCCUACGGGAGGCAGCAGUGGGAAAUAUUGCACAAUGGGCGGAAGCCUGAUGCAGCAACGCCGCGUGCGGGAUGACGGCCUUCGGGUUGUAAACCGCUUUCGCCUGUGACGAAGCGUGAGUGACGGUAAUGGGUAAAGAAGCACCGGCUAACUACGUG